GAUGAACGCUGGCGGCGUGCCUAAUACAUGCAAGUCGAGCGACCGGACGAGAAGCUUGCUUCUCUGAUGUUAGCGGCGGACGGGUGAGUAACACGUGGAUAACCUACCUAUAAGACUGGGAUAACUUCGGGAAACCGGAGCUAAUACCGGAUAAUAUUUUGAACCGCAUGGUUCAAAAGUGAAAGACGGUCUUGCUGUCACAUAUAGAUGGAUCCGCGCUGCAUUAGCUAGUUGGUAAGGUACCGGCAUACCAAGGCAACGAUGCAUAGCCGACCUGAGAGGGUGCACCGACACACUGGAUGUGACACACGGUCCAGACUCCUACGGGGGGCAGCAGUAGGGAAUCUGACGCAAUGGGCGAAAGCCUGACGGAGCAACGCCGCGUGAGUGAUGAAGGCCUUCGGAGCGAAAAACUCUGUUAUUAGGGAAGAACAUAUGUGUAAGUAACUGGGCAUAUCGAGACGGGACCUAAACAGAAAGCCACGUCUAUCUACG
rnacentral:rRNA from 1 species